rnacentral:rRNA from 1 species
GACGAACGCUGGCGGCGUGCUUAACACAUGCAAGUCGAACGGAAAGGCCCUGCUUGCAGGGUACUCGAGUGGCGAACGGGUGAGUAACACGUGGGUGAUCUGCCCUGCACUUCGGGAUAAGCCUGGGAAACUGGGUCUAAUACCGGAUAGGAGCCAUUUUUAGUGUGAUGGUUGGAAAGUUUUUUCGGUGUAGGAUGAGCUCGCGGCCUAUCAGCUUGUUGGUGGGGUAAUGGCCUACCAAGGCGGCGACGGGUAGCCGGCCUGAGAGGGUGGACGGCCACAGUGGGACUGAGAUACGGCCCAGACUCCUACGGGAGGCAGCAGUGGGGAAGAUUGCACAAUGGGCGCAAGCCUGAUGCAGCGACGCCGCGUGGGGGAUGACGGCCUUCGGGUUGUAAACUCCUUUCGCUAGGGACGAAGCUUUUUGUGACGGUACCUAGAUAAGAAGCACCGGCUAACUACGUG